CCUACGGGUGGCAGCAGUAGGGAAUAUUGCUCAAUGGGGGAAACCCUGAAGCAGCAACGCCGCGUGGAGGAUGAAGGUUUUCGGAUUGUAAACUCCUUUUGUUAGAGAAGAUAAUGACGGUAUCUAACGAAUAAGCACCGGCUAACCCCGUGCCAGCAGCCGCGGUAAUACGGAGGGUGCAAGCGUUUCUCGGAAUCUCUGGGCGUAAAGGGCGCGUAGGCGGGCAAGCAAGUCAGAUGUGAAAUCCUAUGGCUUAACCAUAGAACUGCAUUUGAAACUGUUAUGCUAGAGUAUGGGAGAGGUAGGUGGAAUUCUUGGUGUAGGGGUAAAAUCCGUAGAUAUCAAGAGGAAUACUCAUUGCGAAGGCGGCCUACUGGAACGUAACUGACGCUGAUGCGCGAAAGCGUGGGGAGCAAACAGGAUUAGAUACCCUGGUAGUC
rnacentral:rRNA from 1 species